rnacentral:misc_RNA from 1 species
GAUGAAGAACGUAGUGAAUUGCGAUAAGUAAUGUGAAUUGCAGAUUUUCAGUGAAUCAUCGAAUCUUUGAACGCACCUUGCGCUCCUUGGUAUUCCGAGGAGCAUGCCUGUUUGAGUGUCAUUAAUAUAUCAACCUUCUCUUUUUUGAGUUGUUUGGAUGUGGGGGUUUGCUGGCCUCUUAAAUGAUUCAGCUCCCCUGAAAUGCAUUAGCAGAACAACCUGUUCAUUGGCGUGAUAAUUAUCUAUGCUAUUGAAUGUGAGGGCAGUUCAGCUUUCUAACCGUCCUUGGACAAUUCAUCAUUAAUGUGACCUCAAAUCAGGUAGGACUACCCGCUGAACUUAAGCAUAUCAAUAAGCGGAGGA